CAUGCGCGCGCGGGCCAAGAGAGGGCGGAUCAAAGCGCCACCUGACCAUGGGUGUGGGCCAAAAGAGCGCGAGCACAAGACGGGGGGCAGAGUAAAAAACCGUGGCCCUACAU
rnacentral:rRNA from 1 species